AGUGAACGCUGGCGGUAGGCCUAACACAUGCAAGUCGAACGGCAGCACAGUAAGAGCUUGCUCUUACGGGUGGCGAGUGGCGGACGGGUGAGGAAUACAUCGGAAUCUACUUUUUCGUGGGGGAUAACGUAGGGAAACUUACGCUAAUACCGCAUACGACCUACGGGUGAAAGCAGGGGAUCUUCGGACCUUGCGCGAUUGAAUGAGCCGAUGUCGGAUUAGCUAGUUGGCGGGGUAAAGGCCCACCAAGGCGACGAUCCGUAGCUGGUCUGAGAGGAUGAUCGGCCACACUGGAACUGAGACACGGUCCAGACUCCUGCGGGAGGCAGCAGUGGGGAAUAUUGGACAAUGGGCGCGAGCCUGAUCCAGCCAUACCGCGUGGGUGAAGAAGGCCUUCGGGUUGUAAAGCCCUUUUGUUGGGAAAGAAAAGCAGCAGGUUAAUACCCCGCUGUUCUGACGGUACCCAAAGAAUAAGCACCGGCUAACUUCGUG
rnacentral:rRNA from 1 species